rnacentral:rRNA from 1 species
UUAGGAAUCUUCCACAAUGGGCGAAAGCCUGAUGGAGCGACGCCGCGUGAGGGAUGAGGGCCUUAGGGUUGUAAACCUCUAAAAGAGGGACGAUAAUGACGGUACCUCUUGAAUAGCACCGGCUAACUCCGUGCCAGCAGCCGCGGUAAUACGGAGGGUGCAAGCGUUAUCCGGAAUCACUGGGCGUAAAGGGCGCGUAGGCGGUCUGUUAAGUCCGAUGUUAAAUCCCGGGGCUCAACCCCGGAUAAGCGUUGGAUACUGGCAGGCUAGACGGUUGGAGAGGCGAGUGGAAUUACCAGUGUAGCGGUGGAAUGCGUAGAUACUGGUAGGAACACCCAUUGCGAAGGCAGCUCGCUGGACAACACGUGACGCUGAGGCGCGAAAGUGUGGGGA